UUGGAGGGCAAGUCUGGUGCCAGCAGCCGCGGUAAUUCCAGCUCCAAUAGCGUAUAUUAAAGUUGUUGCAGUUAAAAAGCUCGUAGUUGAAUUUCGGGGUUCUACCGUUGGUCGGGCUAUGUCUGUACUGGUGUGUAGAAUUUCUACCUUCUGGGGAACCAUCAUGCUAUUAAUUUAGCGUGGUGGGAAACCAGGACCUUUACCUUGAAAAAAUUAGUGUGUUCAAAGCAGGCUUAUGUCUGAAUACAUUAGCGUGGAAUAAUAGAAUAGGACGGUGGUCCUGUUUUGUUGGUUUCUGAAUCACCGUAAUGAUUAAUAGGGAUAGUUGGGGGCAUUAGUAUUCAAUUGUCAGAGGUGAAAUUCUUGGAUUUAUUGAAGACUAACUUCUGCGAAAGCAUUUGCCAAGGAUGUUUUCAUUAAUCAAGAACGAAAGUUAGGGGAUCGAAGACGAUCAAAUACCGUCGUAGUCUUAACCAUAAACUAUGCCGACUAGGGAUCGGACGAUGUUAAUUUUUCUUGACUCGUUCGGCGCCUUACGGGAAAC
rnacentral:rRNA from 1 species